GGCUUAGAGUUUGAUCAUGGCUCAGAGUGAACGCUGGCGGCGUGCCUAAUACAUGCAAGUCGAACGAUGAAGCUUCUAGCUUGCUAGAAGUGGAUUAGUGGCGCACGGAUGAGUAAGGUAUAGUUAAUCUGCCCUACACAAGAGGACAACAGUUGGAAACGACUGCUAAUACUCUAUACUCCUGCUUAACACAAGUUGAGUAGGGAAAGUUUUUCGGUGUAGGAUGAGACUAUAUAGUAUCAGCUAGUUGGUAAGGUAAUGGCUUACCAAGGCUAUGACGCUUAACUGGUCUGAGAGGAUGAUCAGUCACACUGGAACUGAGACACGGUCCAGACUCCUACGGGAGGCAGCAGUGGGGAAUAUUGCGCAAUGGGGGAAACCCUGACGCAGCAACGCCGCGUGGAGGAUGACACUUUUCGGAGCGUAAACUCCUUUUCUUAGGGAAGAAUUCUGACGGUACCUAAGGAAUAAGCACCGGCUAACUCCGUGCCAGCAGCCGCGGUAAUACGGAGGGUGCAAGCGUUACUCGGAAUCACUGGGCGUAAAGGGCGCGUAGGCGGAUUAUCAAGUCUCUUGUGAAAUCUAAUGGCUUAACCAUUAAACUGCUUGGGAAACUGAUAGUCUAGAGUGAGGGAGAGGCAGAUGGAAUUAAGCC
rnacentral:rRNA from 1 species